UACGAAGGGGGCUAGCGUUGCUCGGAAUCACUGGGCGUAAAGGGUGCGUAGGCGGCUUGUAUAGUCGGAUGUGAAAUUCCUGGGCUUAACCUGGGGGCUGCAUACGAGACGUAUGGGCUUGAGUGCGGAAGAGGGUUGUGGAAUUCCCAGUGUAGAGGUGAAAUGCGUAGAUAUUGGGAGGAACACCAGUGGCGAAGGCGGCUCACUGGACCGGUACUGACGCUGAGGCGCGAAAGCGUGGGGAGCAA
rnacentral:rRNA from 1 species